rnacentral:rRNA from 1 species
UCCAGACUCCUACGGGAGGCAGCAGUGAGGAAUAUUGGUCAAUGGGCUUACGCCUGAACCAGCCAAGUCGCGUGAGGGAAGACUGCCCUAUGGGUUGUAAACCUCUUUUGUCAGGGAGCAAUUGGCGCUACGUGUAGCGUUAUCGAGAGUACCUGAAGAAAAAGCAUCGGCUAACUCCGUGCCAGCAGCCGCGGUAAUACGGAGGAUGCGAGCGUUAUCCGGAUUUAUUGGGUUUAAAGGGUGCGUAGGCGGAAUGCCAAGUCAGCGGUAAAAUGUCGGGGCUCAACCCCGGCCGGCCGUUGAAACUGGCGUGCUCGAGUUGGAGAGAAGUAUGCGGAAUUCGUGGUGUAGCGGUGAAAUGCAUAGAUAUCACGAAGAACCCCGAUUGCGAAGGCAGCAUACCGGCUCCACACUGACGCUGAGGCACGAAAGCGUGGGUAUCGAACAGGAUUAGAUACCCUAGUA